rnacentral:rRNA from 1 species
UACGAAGGGGGCUAGCGUUGCUCGGAAUCACUGGGCGUAAAGCGCACGUAGGCGGACUCUUAAGUCGGUGGUGAAAUCCUGGAGCUCAACUCCAGAACUGCCUUCGAUACUGGGAGUCUUGAGUUCGGAAGAGGUUGGUGGAACUGCGAGUGUAGAGGUGAAAUUCGUAGAUAUUCGCAAGAACACCGGUGGCGAAGGCGGCCAACUGGUCCGAAACUGACGCUGAGGCGCGAAAGCGUGGGGAGCAAACAGG